UUCAAGGUGUUUAUUCCCGAGCUUCCUGUUUGUUUUUCUCAUAAAUAUUUUGUGUCUUUUUUCCCCACAGACAAUGCAGAGAGCAGUCUUCCAGGUUUUGAAGUACUUGAUAGUUCAGAUCAGGAGUGAUAAUGAAAGACGCAGACGGCCAUGCAAUAUUGAAGGGGGCCUCUUGAUAUUGGUGAAGGCAGUGAGCUCUACACCCAGCCAAGAUGACUUUACCUGCAGGGUCAACAUUGCAGUCGCUGGCCUGUGGAGUUUUGGAGUGCCAAUGGAAGAAGUUC